AUGCACCCCUUACAUUCUGUCAACCCACAAGACUGUUGUCACAUCGACUGGCUACACACGGAGUGAUAGACAAACUUGCGCACCACACAGACAGACGCGCAAUAUCCUGAAAAAUAUUUGGUAGAUAUUUUGUUAGUGGCUAACCAGAGGUUUGAAAAAUGUCAAUGUUGCGUUGAUUAGAUAGUAGCUGGGAGCUUGCGGUGUCGAAUAGUUGUGAGAUUUGUUUAUGACAGUGCGAUGGAACACGUGAAAAAUUGCAUGUAUUUUUGGAAUUGUUUGGCGAGCUACUCAUAGGUGGACUGCGAGCUACUGCACUUCACUGAUGGAAAGCCAAGCGAAAUAUGUCCUAACUCAGUAGAUGCGGGGAGCACAUGGCUGGAACAACAUCCUUCAGAUGCCCUCCAAACAAAAGGGUUGCUUGGGGUCUCUGUCUGCGACAAACAAGGGAGCGACGCUCACCCAAAACAUCCACCAAACAGAGGCAGGUCUGUCUGUCUGUCUGCACAGGGAGUAAAAAACACCAAAAUCACAUUAAUCCCAUCAGCUGCCUGGGCCUGGCUCGUCACGAGGAAACUCAAGAAGUGGUGUCCCAAAUGGGACCCUAUUCCCUAUAUAGUGCAUUACAGAGCCCUAUGGGCCCUGGUCAAAUGUAGUGAACUAUGUAGGGAAUAGGGUGCCAUUUGGGACACAGACAGACUUAGAGCCCCCACCCUCCAACUCAAUUACCCCUGGGUGUUGUGAAGGUCACCACAGGAUCUGGGUGUUAAGGAGACAGACUGCAGUGCAGUGGGUUUGUUCAGGACAUGACUAGGCAAAGUUAAGAGCCAGACUCUAUUGGUUGUAAAUUUGUACAUUUAAGGUUAACUGCUCCUUAGAACCAACUUCUGUGGUUUUAAACAGCCUAUGUCACAUCGAUAUGAGUCAGAAACAUUAAUUGUAGUGUCAAAAUGGACUACAAAGUGUAUAUAGGAUAACUUUGGUCAUAAAGUCAGUCUGGUCCAAACCUGAGUUUUGUACGUGAGUUCGUCACGGUUUACUGGCGAUUUAGGGCAGAUGGCCAGGAUAUGGAUUAGCGUUACAUCUGACUAACUUCUACAUGGACUGUCAACUGUCAAACCUGAAACUGGUGUGUUGCUAUGUUUUGUUAGCUAGCUACAUGUCAUUAUUUGAUAGCCUAGUAUCAUAGCGGCAUAGCCUAUGAUACUGUGAUGUACCUAACUAGCUAAAUACAUAGCCUAUACCUAACAUGUAAUGUGAGAGGAAGAUUUGCAUAGCUAACAUUGUACCUGAAGACAGGUUUGAUCCCUGCCAACUAGAGGUAGCUAGAUAGCUCAUAAUCAAGCAAACCUGACAACAUGUUUGAUGCAUGUCGCCAGCUUGCUUUCAGUAAUGUUUCAACUCGAACAGGCUAGCAACUGUAAGAUCCCUGCUAAAUAAUCAAGCAAACUAGCUACCCACUGGGCACACUGGUUGAAUCAAUGUUGUUUCCAUGUCCUUUAAAUUAUGUUGAACCAACGUGAAAUAGACGUUGGUGUCUGUGCCCAGUGGGUAGCUAGCAUUUGAGGACUUCAGCUGACCCCCAAAAAUAUGCCAACAAACAACAACAUUAUUGUGUAUUUUCUAUGUAAAAAAAACGACAACAAAUCACCAAAGAAGGAGGCUGGGGCAAAACACAAGUCUCUUUUCAGAGUAAUGGAGGACACAACCACCAUUGAUAAUGUAAUCAGUACUGUGUGUGUUUGUCUUGUAUGUUGUAAGGAGGUGCCCCACCCCCCCCAUCCAUGGUGCCGCAAUGGACUACUCCUGGACCAGGGAGCUGGGUUGGAUCUUUAAGUCAGACUCCUUCAUGACUAGUAUCUGUGAUGAGAGGGGCCUGGAUGUACUGCCGCUAGCAAACACCUCAGAAGGGACAAAAAGUGAUUACUAAUAAGACAGAACAUCACAAGUGUUUAGUAAUCUCAGAAUCAGCUUUACCUUAAAACUUCAAAAACGCGUAGUCUCAAAUAGCCGCCUGUCCCUUUUAAUAGCCGGACAAUGUCACACAUUUCAGGUAAAAAUAAACGCCUGGUCUAAAUGAAUUGUUUACAAGGGUACCAUGAAUUGUUUGAGGUUUAAUGUUUGAUUUGUUACAUUAAAUAAUUCAGUAAUGACUCAAUAAAUUAUGUCAAUCAUGCGUUUGUAUCGCCAGUAAGAAACUGCUAGCCAUUAGCAGCUAACAACUGCUAGCUAACCGGCAAGUACAAAAACAGUCAACAAGUUCAGGAGUACCGACCCCUAAAAACUGUAAUAUCGUCCUAUAGUAAGAACGGGUUAAAAGGGCACAGUCAAAAGAGGAUAAUAAUUAUUCUGUCAAGGAAAAGUUUUUAAAUGUUUUUAUAAAGUGACAGUGUGAAAAUUAUUACACAUGGUGCAGGAAAUUAAUAAAUUGACUAAAAUGCUGGAAGUGGAUGUUGGAAUUAAACAAUUAACAAUUGUGUAACGAGUGCGCUGAGAGUCAGGAAGCAAGUACAGGGAGUGAGUGUUUUAAUAAAUAAACAAACCAAUAAACAUGAAACACAAACAACGCAAUUACACCUGAGGAAAGAACCAAGGGG